UACACACACUGUGAAUCAUCGAAUCUUUGAACGCACAUUGCACUGCCCGGUCACUCUGGGCAGUAUACCUGUUUGAGUAUCAGUUCCAUCUCGCUGUCAGCUUGUCCCUGUGACGGAUGACUUGGCGGACUUGAGCCGUGACAUUGAUCAUUAGUGAUUGAUGUCUGGCUUGGAAUGUAGAGGGUGCCACUUGACGUGUGCCGACAGAGCUAGUCUCUAGUUUACGCUAGAGUAUUCUGCUUAGUCCCGUCUCGUGACUUUAACUCCAUACACACUAACCAUUUCCGCAAGGACUUGAUUAUUGAUCUCAAAUCAGGUAAGAUUACCCGCUGAACUUAAGCAUAUCAAUAAGCGGAGG
rnacentral:rRNA from 1 species